AAUUUUUUUUAUUGGCCAUGAUUGUGGCCAUGGGAGCUUCUCCGAGAAUCUCAAUCUCAAUAAUAUCAUGGGACACAUCUUGCAUUCUUCCAUUCUUGUACCGUACCAUGGAUGCAUUAUAAGAUAAUCAACCACAGGACUCACCAUCAAAAUCAUGGACAUGUUGAAAAUGACGAAUCAUGGGUACUGGUAAUGUUUUCCAUAGAUUCUUGAGCUUUUCUUGAUUCAUGGUUGCCAGAGAAGAUCUACAAGAAUCUGGAUUUGUCAAUCAAAUUCCUCAAAUAUGAAAUCCCUUUUCCCCUGUUUGCAUAUC